AAAGCUCAUUGUCUGCAUGAAAACAGAAAUCCUCUACAGAAAAACAAUUACUUCACUUACAUAGUUUCUGUGCAUACAGGGAAUAAAUAAAAACACAGCGCUGGCCUGCCACUCAUGGAUGUACCCCAUCCAUGUGAGCCGCUGGAUGGCUCACAACAGGAGACCUCUGAGUUCAUGGCCAUCUGGGAUUAAAGGCAUGGGGGCACACACCUUUAAUCUGGGCUACACCCUCUACUGGAGAACUACAUAAGGACAUUGGAAGAAGGAAGAUUUACACUCUUUCACGCCUCCUCCUUGCCUUGUGGUACUGAGCAACUGCUAGAUCCUUGGACUUCCAUUUACAAUUGCUGCUGACCAUUGUUGGGAGUUGGAUUGCAUACAGCAAGAACACACUCAGGACAACCGGAAUCUUCUGCGGCACAAGGGUUUAUUGCUUACUUCCCAGGAGGAAGACCUGGAACCCAGAAAAUGGCGCUGCUUAUAUAGCCUGCAGGGUGACGUUUCAGCACCUGAUGUGGCGUGACAGCUCAUGAUUCAUUGCUUGCCCAUCACCCUAUUACUAUGCCCCGAGAUGGGCAGUGACUAGGCAGACAAAAGGUGAAGAAUUCACCAGUGCUUCCAGACUGAAUAACGAAGUAUGAUGGCAGAAGCAUUGAGCUGGGAGAGCUGGGAGAGCUUAAGAAAAGCCGUAAGGAGAUGGUUGAGCUUUCUAUUUCAGACAGAGUAGUUGCUUAGUGCUUUGGGCUUAUGGUUUCUUUUGAGUGUCAGGGAUAAAUUAGCAUAAUACAUAAACUUUAGGAGUAGGAGAGCUUAUAUAAUUUGACCUUGACUGCUGAGUUCCCUAAUGUGUGCAGUAUUAUCAUUUUCCUAUGGUAUGUUUCCAGCUUGAACUCUUAACAUCAGCUGGCUAUGCACGUGCUGGUGGAUGUUCACCAUGUCAAAGGGCAGCUUUGGCAGCUUUUCUACAAAGGAUGGGCAUAAGAAAAGGACAGUGGAAUGACUAGGUGCUGAGAGGUAAGGUCUGUGGAAUCCAAGAAAUAUGGCUGUUCCCUGUGAGGUUCUACCAGCACCUGACCAAUACAGAUGCAGAUACAGGCAACCAUCAGACAGAGUCUGGGGACCCCAAUGGAAGAGCUAGGGGAAGGACUGAAGGACCUGAAGGGUAUUGAAACCCCAUAGGAAGAACAAUAUCAACUAACUGGACCCCUGAGAGCUCCCAGAGACUAAACCACCAACCAAAGAGCACACAUGGAGGGAGCCAGGACUCCAGAUACAUAUGUGGCAGAGAGUGGCCUUACUUGCCAUCAAUGGGAGGGGCAGCCCUUGGUCCUGUGGAGGUUUGAUGCUCCAGCAUAGGGGGAUGGUAGGAUGUAAGGCAGGAGUGAGUGAACCAGUUGAGGAGCACCCUGAUAGAAGCAAAGUGGAUGGGGGAUGGGAUGGGGGUUGUGGAUGGGUAACCGGGAAGGGGC
rnacentral:lncRNA from 1 species